AGAGUUUGAUCAUGGCUCAGAUUGAACGCUGGCGGCAGGCCUAACACAUGCAAGUCGAGCGGUAGCACAGAGAGCUUGCUCUCGGGUGACGAGCGGCGGACGGGUGAGUAAUGUCUGGGAAACUGCCUGAUGGAGGGGGAUAACUACUGGAAACGGUAGCUAAUACCGCAUAAUGUCGCAAGACCAAAGUGGGGGACCUUCGGGCCUCAUGCCAUCAGAUGUGCCCAGAUGGGAUUAGCUAGUAGGUGGGGUAACGGCUCACCUAGGCGACGAUCCCUAGCUGGUCUGAGAGGAUGACCAGCCACACUGGAACUGAGACACGGUCCAGACUCCUACGGGAGGCAGCAGUGGGGAAUAUUGCACAAUGGGCGCAAGCCUGAUGCAGCCAUGCCGCGUGUGUGAAGAAGGCCUUCGGGUUGUAAAGCACUUUCAGCGGGGAGGAAGGCGUUAAGGUUAAUAACCUUGGCGAUUGACGUUACCCGCAGAAGAAGCACCGGCUAACUCCGUGCCAGCAGCCGCGGUAAUACGGAGGGUGCAAGCGUUAAUCGGAAUUACUGGGCGUAAAGCGCACGCAGGCGGUCUGUCAAGUCGGAUGUGAAAUCCCCGGGCUCAACCUGGGAACUGCAUUCGAAACUGGCAGGCUAGAGUCUUGUAGAGGGGGGUAGAAUUCCAGGUGUAGCGGUGAAAUGCGUAGAGAUCUGGAGGAAUACCGGUGGCGAAGGCGGCCCCCUGGACAAAGACUGACGCUCAGGUGCGAAAGCGUGGGGAGCAAACAGGAUUAGAUACCCUGGUAGUCCACGCCGUAAACGAUGUCGAUUUGGAGGUUGUGCCCUUGAGGCGUGGCUUCCGGAGCUAACGCGUUAAAUCGACCGCCUGGGGAGUACGGCCGCAAGGUUAAAACUCAAAUGAAUUGACGGGGGCCCGCACAAGCGGUGGAGCAUGUGGUUUAAUUCGAUGCAACGCGAAGAACCUUACCUGGUCUUGACAUCCACAGAACUUAGCAGAGAUGCUUUGGUGCCUUCGGGAACUGUGAGACAGGUGCUGCAUGGCUGUCGUCAGCUCGUGUUGUGAAAUGUUGGGUUAAGUCCCGCAACGAGCGCAACCCUUAUCCUUUGUUGCCAGCGGU
rnacentral:rRNA from 1 species